UACAGAGGUGGCAAGCGUUGUUCGGAAUUACUGGGCGUAAAGGGCGCGUAGGCGGCCUUCUAAGUCGGACGUGAAAUCCCCAGGCUUAACUCGGGAACUGCGUUUGAUACUGUCGAGCUAGAGUGUGGAAGGGGCGAUUGGAAUUCCGUGUGUAGCGGUGAAAUGCGUAGAUAUACGGAGGAACACCAGAGGCGAAGGCGGAUCGCUGGGCCAACACUGACGCUGAGACGCGAAAGCUAGGGGAGCAAACGGG
rnacentral:rRNA from 1 species